rnacentral:ncRNA from 2 species
AUCUUAUCAAGAGCAGGUGGAGGGACUAGCCCAAUGAAACCCGGCAACCGGCGGCAAUAUCGCACGGUGCUAAUUCUUGCAGGAUGUACGCGGCCUUUAGGUCGCAGACACUCUGACAGAUGAGAG